AAAGCGCGCGUAGGUGGUUAUGUAAGACAGAUGUGAAAUCCCCGGGCUCAACCUGGGAACUGCAUUUGUGACUGCAUGGCUAGAGUACGGUAGAGGGGGAUGGAAUUCCGCGUGUAGCAGUGAAAUGCGUAGAUAUGCGGAGGAACACCGAUGGCGAAGGCAAUCCCCUGGACCUGUACUGACGCUCAUGCACGAAAGCGUGGGGAGCAAACAGGAUUAGAUACCCGUGU
rnacentral:rRNA from 1 species